GUCACGUCUGUCUAGGUCGUCUCUGUGUUUGUCAGUCUAUGCGGCCUCGUCACUGUGUCCUUACGUGUCGUAUUGGAGCCUGGUUGUGAAUUCUGCCUUGGUAGUAGUCAGUAUCCAGUGGGUCCAUAUGUCCGUGUACCUAUUCGAGGAGUUGGAUGUGGUCAUAAUGAGUUCCUCUAUGGCUCUGAGUUCCUCCAUUUGGG